GGCUCAGGAUGAACGCUGGCGGCGUGCCUAAUACAUGCAAGUCGAGCGAACUGACGAGGAGCUUGCUCCUUUGACGUUAGCGGCGGACGGGUGAGUAACACGUGGGUAACCUACCUAUAAGACUGGAAUAACUCCGGGAAACCGGGGCUAAUGCCGGAUAACAUAUCGAACCGCAUGGUUCGAUAGUGAAAGACGGUCUUGCUGUCACUUAUAGAUGGACCCGCGCCGUAUUAGCUAGUUGGUGAGGUAACGGCUCACCAAGGCAACGAUACGUAGCCGACCUGAGAGGGUGAUCGGCCACACUGGAACUGAGACACGGUCCAGACUCCUACGGGAGGCAGCAGUAGGGAAUCUUCCGCAAUGGGCGAAAGCCUGACGGAGCAACGCCGCGUGAGUGAUGAAGGUCUUCGGAUCGUAAAGCUCUGUUGUUAGGGAAGAACAAAUGUGUAAGUAA
rnacentral:rRNA from 1 species